GAUGAACGCUGGCGGCGUGCCUAAUACAUGCAAGUCGAGCGAACAGAUGAGGAGCUUGCUCCUCUGACGUUAGCGGCGGACGGGUGAGUAACACGUGGAUAACCUACCUAUAAGACUGGGAUAACUUCGGGAAACCGGAGCUAAUACCGGAUAAUAUAUUGAACCGCAUGGUUCAAUAGUGAAGAAGGGUUUGGUUUCCACUUUUGGAGGAACCGGGCCGCAUUAGCUAGUUGGUAAGGUAACGGCUUACCAAGGCAACGAUGCGUAGCCGACCUGAGAGGGUGAUCGGCCACACUGGAACUGAGACACGGUCCAGACUCCUACGGGAGGCAGCAGUAGGGAAUCUUCCGCAAUGGGCGAAAGCCUGACGGAGCAACGCCGCGUGAGUGAUGAAGGUCUUCGGAUCGUAAAACUCUGUUAUUAGGGAAGAACAAAUGUGUAAGUAACUAUGCACGUCUUGACGGUACCUAAUCAGAAAGCCACGGCUAACUACGUG
rnacentral:rRNA from 1 species